UACAUACUGUGCGAACGUUAUUCGGAUUCACUGGGCUUAAAGGGUGCGUAGGCGGCUUGUUAAGUAGGGUGUGAAAGCCCCCAGCUCAACUGGGGAACUGCACUCUAUACUGGCGAGCUAGAGUGAGAUAGGGGUGUGUGGAACUGCCAGUGGAGCGGUGAAAUGUGUUGAUAUUGGCAGGAACGCCGGUGGCGAAAGCGACACACUGGGUCUCAACUGACGCUGAGGCACGAAAGCCAGGGGAGCGAACGGGAUUAGAUACCCCGGUAGUCCUGGCCGUAAACGCUGAGUACUCGUUUGGAGCGGCUUCGGCUGCUCCAAACUUAGAGAAAUCGUUAAGUACUCCGCCUGGGGAGUAUGGUCGCAAGGCUG
rnacentral:rRNA from 1 species